GACUGAGGACAUUUCCUUUCGGGAGAUAACACCCAUGAUGUUCGGCGUAUGGCAUGCUGAAAACUCAUCGUCCAACAAUUAACUUACUGGGGGUUAGGGAGGUGCCAUAAAGAAAGAAUGAUAUAAAGAUUUCUAUCACGAGGAGACACUUGAUUGCCUGUUCUCAGCGUUGAAUUCUAUCGUAAGGCAAGUCUCAAUUUUUCUUUUUUUUAAAAGAAAGAUUUUGUAAUCCUGUUUCAAAACAUGUAUCUGCCGAUAUGAAGUGAUAAAAUGUCGUUCCAUGGACUGGCUCUGGCCCCCAAAUUAGGAACACAAUGUGCUUUAAGAAUACUGACAACAGAGGAGCCAAGGAGAAGGUUUCAAACAAACUAAUCAGGGCUUGGAGAGAUGACUCAGUGUUAAAUGUUCUCCGCUCUUCAAGAGAACCUGAGCUCAGAUCUCAGGACGCACGUUUCUGUGAGUUCAGAUCUCAGGACGCAUGUUUCACAAGCACCUAUAACUCCAGCCACAGGGCACCCGAUACCCUCUCCUGGCCUCCCCAUACCUGCUCAGUUGUGAGAUACCUUCGCUCUGACACAAAAACACAUGGGUCAAAAUACAGCUCAGACUCACACAGAGAGAGGAGUAGCCGAGGUUAGGUGGACCGAGCAGGCUGACAAAGAAGCCCUCAGCACCCCAGAAGCUCGGCGUGCUGCUUCUGUGCGGUUGAGCAGGGGGGCUGGGUUAUUUCACACAGCUGAACGAGGAGGCAGGGUUUAUGGUGUACAGCAGGACCAGCGAGACAGGUUUUGUUCAUCUCAGUAGAGACGGUCUCCUUAGGGGAGAAGUCUUUAGGCUAGAAACAGAGGGAGACAGCAGUGGUCAACAUUUUUGGGCAAAUUAUCAACACUCGAAUUCAGACCAGGAGGGACGCCUUUGCCAUGUCCACAAGCCUAACCCAGCGAAGGGCUAUUUUCUGCCAUUUUCCUACGGGUCUGAGGCUCAGUUUCUUGACAAGGCUGUGCCCGUGUCCAAAGCACACAUUCUCUCAGGACUUCACCCAGGGCUGGCUCUCUGUCUACAUUUACCCUUAAAGAACAAUGGCUCUUCUCACCCCCACGGCCUCCAAUUCCAAUGCCUCGUCAGCCAGGGUGGGGACUCGUGAGUUUCUCCUUCAGCAUGGCGGGAUGCUCAGUGGCUGGGUCUCCUGCAGAUCCUAUAUCCACAGUAUCCACAGCUGUUCUGAUGUGAGCCUGGAGGGCAAUGACCACGUCCUGUCUAGGAGACACUAUUCAUAGCACUCUGCCCGGCCUCCAGUUCUUAUAUUCUUCUGCCUACUCUUCCACCAUGUUCCCCGAGCCUGGGUGCAGGGGAGGGGGAGGCUGAUACAACGUCCCAGUUAGGUCUGACCACUCAGGGUCACUUAUGCCCCUCACUCUGACCAGUUGUGAGUCUAUGUAGUAACCACUGCCCACCACAAGCCGACAACUCCCCGACCCAGUCUUGAGAGCACGCCAAUCUACAGUUAUAAAUAUUUAAAAGGCAGCUUGACAACACGAUCAUUUAGAAAACCGGUGAUCACAGGUCCCCUGCAAGCAUUUAUGGCCUUCCUGGCCAUGGGCUUUGGACUAAGUUUACAGAGUCGAGUGGAGCAAGCCCCAUAUGCAGUCGAAGGGCAGCUGGUUGCACCGUAAAAGCAUGCCGCUAAUGCACCACCACUGGGCACUGCAGCAGGCAGGAGACUGCAGAUGUGUUUUGUCCCACUGUAGUCCGAAUAACCCCUUCCAGGAUCAUAGAAGUCGGCCAUCAGGGAAGGCAUUUCCUAGUCAGUUGCAGCUUGGAUUCUCUGUCUCCAAACAAAAGUAUGUAGUGUAUGUAUGUAGUAUUCAGCAGUGGGCUCUUAUCAUCUAGGACAGUUAAGAAUUAUGGUAAUAAUAUGUAUUGUUUCAGGUCCCUUGGGAACCUCUCCAAGCAAUAAUUUUCGGCAGGUGUCCCGUACCUGGCAUUGAGGCUUUUGUUUUAUACUUUGGGCUUUCUGGGAGAAGGGUUACCCAUCCUUCACUCAUUCUUGCCGAGUAACUCCAUGCAAACUGCCCUAUGUAAUACUUUUAUCUUUUUACAUUAUCAGUUUGGGUUAACUACCUGUUGACGUAUGUUGAACUAUCCCUGCAUCUCUGGAGGAAAAAAAAAUCCAAUUUGUUGAUUGUAGCAGUUGCUGGACAUCUUAAAAGCAGCAGUGUCAAACAACCAGAACCCUCAGAACCCCCAGGGACUAAACCACCAACCAGUGAGUACACAUGGAGGGACUCAUGGCUCCAGCCACAUAUGUAGCAGAGGAUGGCCUUGUCUGGCAUCAAUAGGAAAAGAGGCCCUUGGUUCUGUGAAGGCUCAUUUCCCCAGUGUAGGGGAACGCCAGAUCAGUGAGGUGGGAGUGGGUGGGUGG